rnacentral:rRNA from 1 species
CCUACGGGUGGCAGCAGUGAGGAAUAUUGGUCAAUGGACGAGAGUCUGAACCAGCCAAGUAGCGUGAAGGAUGACUGCCCUAUGGGUUGUAAACUGUUUUUAUAUGGGAAUAAAACGUUCCACGUGUGGGAUUUUGUAUGUACCAUAUGAAUAAGGAACGGCUAACUUCGUGCCAGCAGCUGCGGUAAUACGGAGGAUCCGAUCGUGAUCCGGAUUUAUUGGGUUUAAAGGGAGCGUAGGUGGAUUGUUAAGUCAGUUGUGAAAGUUUGCGGCUCAACCGUAAAAUUGCAGUUGAAACUGGCAGUCUUGAGUACAGUAGAGGUGGGCAGAAUUCGUGGUGUAGCGGUGAAAUGCUUAGAUAUCACGAAGAACUCCGAUUGCGAAGGCAGUUCACUGGACUGCAACUGACACUGAGGCUCGAAAGUGUGGGUAUCAAACAGGAUUAGAUACCCCAGUAGUC